UGAAGAUAGAGCUUUGCCAGAA
rnacentral:piRNA from 1 species